CCUACGGGAGGCAGCAGUGGGGAAUUUUGGACAAUGGGCGAAAGCCUGAUCCAGCCAUACCGCGUGCGGGAAGAAGGCCUUCGGGUUGUAAACCGCUUUUGUCAGGGAAGAAAUACCUCGGGUUAAUACCCUGGGGUGAUGACGGUACCUGAAGAAUAAGCACCGGCUAACUACGUGCCAGCAGCCGCGGUAAUACGUAGGGUGCAAGCGUUAAUCGGAAUUACUGGGCGUAAAGCGUGCGCAGGCGGUUCUAUAAGACAGAUGUGAAAUCCCCGGGCUCAACCUGGGAACUGCAUUUGUGACUGUAGAGCUAGAGUACGGUAGAGGGGGAUGGAAUUCCGCGUGUAGCAGUGAAAUGCGUAGAUAUGCGGAGGAACACCGAUGGCGAAGGCAAUCCCCUGGACCUGUACUGACGCUCAUGCACGAAAGCGUGGGGAGCAAACAGGAUUAGAUACCCUGGUAGUCCACGCCCUAAACGAUGUCAACUGGUUGUUGGGAGGGUUUCCUCUCAGUAACGAAGCUAACGCGUGAAGUUGACCGCCUGGGGAGUACGGCCGCAAGGUUGAAACUUAAAGUGAAUUGACGG
rnacentral:rRNA from 1 species